GAUGAACGCUAGCGGCAGGCUUAAUACAUGCAAGUCGAGGGGCAGCGGGGGUAGCAAUACCUGCCGGCGACCGGCAAACGGGUGCGGAACACGUACACAACCUUCCCUUUAGUGGGGGAUAGCCCAGAGAAAUUUGGAUUAAUACCCCGUAACAUUGUAGAGUGGCAUCAUUCAACAAUUAAAGCUCCGGCGCUAGAAGAUGGGUGUGCGUCUGAUUAGGUAGUUGGUAGGGGUAACGGCCCACCAAGCCAACGAUCAGUAACUGGUGUGAGAGCACGACCAGUCACACGGGCACUGAGACACGGGCCCGACUCCUACGGGAGGCAGCAGUAAGGAAUAUUGGUCAAUGGACGCAAGUCUGAACCAGCCAUGCCGCGUGGAGGAUGAAGGUCCUCUGGAUU
rnacentral:rRNA from 1 species